rnacentral:lncRNA from 1 species
AGACAGAAGAAGAGGCAGAACUCUACAGAGCCAAUGCCAAACACAUAUCUAAAGCCAAAGAAUUUUGUUUCGCUACCCUUCGUUGAAGUAAAAACAGCUCCAAGAGUAUUCCCUGGAGUGUGAGAUGGUUCUCUCACAUACGGGGUUCAAAGACACUGUGAGGCGUGUAGCAUAGCUGAAAGUGUCUGUAUGUAAUAAUGCCUUUAUGAUGUUGUUUUGUUUCUGGCUUGCCUGUACCUGAAUUAUCUGAAGACAUUGUUUGAGGCUAUGAAAAAAUAUGAAUAAUAUUAGGCCUUGAGAUCAAAAAUCAUUUUUUACUUCCAUGGUUGUUAGCUGCCAAUAUCCCACGCACAGCUCUCAAUUUCCAAAGCAGCAGUGAAAUGCUGGAGAGAUCAGAAAAGAAGAGAACGGCAGUGUCAACUCACCUCUGGUCUCUUCUUGUUAGCAAGUUCAAGAGACACUUGGCGAUAUUGACUGCAGAAUACAAAGAUGAAAUUCAAGGGUUCCUAGAGGGUGUCUGUCCGUAGAAACAAAGGACAUCCUCAUCUUGAAAACGUAAGUAGUAGAUGUACAGUCAUGACUCAUUCCCUUCACCUCCUAAGUCUUGGGCUAGAAGUGUUGGAUGUCAUAGACUGAGACCAACAUGGCCAGCCAUCUCACCCUAAUCUCUAGUACGAGGGUUUUCCAAGAGUUGUCAUCAACUUGGACCUCAAUCCACGACUCUGAAGACUCAAAGAUCCCCAAGUGCAAGGAUGUUCUCUUCCUGCUUCCUGAUGCCUUGCCAACAGGAACAUUUCUGCAGCCCUUAUCAUUUCCUUUUCCCUCACCACGCCAGAGAAAUGCAGUUAACUGAUGUGUAUAGGAAGGACUCACAGAAAUCACCCAGUUAGAUGGUGGCUGAAAAACACAGUGGAGAGUGGAAUACAUUUCUUCCCACUUUGGAGGAGAACCGGUGUAUGGAAGGACAAUUUAAGAGUUACCAUGAACCUCCAAAUAUGCCCACCAUUUUCCAAGUCUUCUUCAUCCUCAGAUCCCACUCAAGUUCCUUCCCCAUAAGGAAAUCCUUUGAGACUAUCCAUCCAUCUAUAAUCACUUCCUUCUCUGAACCCCCACAGCCAACUCAAUACCCACCUUUUGAAGUUUUCUGAAAAUUAUUGAUACUGUAAAUAAAGCAUCCAACACAGGACUG